rnacentral:rRNA from 1 species
AACGAACGCUGGCGGCAUGCCUAACACAUGCAAGUCGAACGAGACCUCCGGGUCUAGUGGCGCACGGGUGCGUAACGCGUGGGAACCUGCCCUUAGGUUCGGAAUAACUCCCCGAAAGGGGUGCUAAUACCGGAUAAUGUCUUCGGACCAAAGAUUUAUCGCCAUUGGAUGGGCCCGCGUUGGAUUAGCUAGUUGGUAGGGUAAAAGCCUACCAAGGCGACGUUCCAUAGCUGGGCUGAGAGGAUGAUCAGCCACACUUGGACUGAGACACGGCCCAGAAUCCUACGGGAGGGAGCAGUGGGGAAUAUUGGACAAUGGGGGAAGGCCUGAUCCAGCAAUGCCGGGUAAGUGAUGAAGGCCUUAGGGUAGUAAAGCUCGUUUACCCGGGACGAUAAUGACGGUACCGGGAGAAUAAGCUCCGGCUAACUCCGUG